rnacentral:lncRNA from 1 species
UUUCUUCGAUAUUCAUGAUGCAUGACAAUGCGAGAACAAUGUAAUAUGAAAAUCAUCACCAAUGGUUCUUAUCUGAACCUCAUUAAUCACCAUAAUGCAACACCAUAUGUUAACAUCACCAAUAUACAUAUAAACAUAUUAAUAUGCAACAAUAUAUCAUCGACAAUUGAUUUCAACGCGACACUCCACCCAAACUCACCAAACAGUAUUAAAAAA